rnacentral:rRNA from 1 species
UACGUAGGGAGCGAGCGUUGUCCGAAGUUACUGGGCGUAAAGCGCGCGUAGGCGGGCUGAUAAGUCGGAGGUGAAAGGCUGGGGCUUAACCUCAGCAGUGCCUCCGAUACUGUCAGUCUUGAGGGCGGUAGGGAGAAGUGGAAUGGCUGGUGUAGCGGUGAAAUGCGUAGAUACCAGUCGGAACACCGGUGGCGAAGGCGGCUUCUUGGGCCGUUCCUGACGCUGAGGCGCGAAAGCCAGGGGAGCGAACGGG